rnacentral:rRNA from 1 species
UACGAAGGGGGCUAGCGUUGCUCGGAAUCACUGGGCGUAAAGCGCACGUAGGCGGGUCGUUAAGUCGGGGGUGAAAUCCUGGAGCUCAACUCCAGAACUGCCUUCGAUACUGGCGAUCUUGAAUCUGGGAGAGGUGAGUGGAACUCCGAGUGUAGAGGUGAAAUUCGUAGAUAUUCGGAAGAACACCAGUGGCGAAGGCGGCUCACUGGCCCGGUACUGACGCUGAGGUGCGAAAGCGUGGGGAGCAAACAGG